GACGAACGCUGGCGGCGUGCCUAAUACAUGCAAGUUGAGCGCUGAAGGUUUGUACUUGUACCAACUGGAUGAGCAGCGAACGGGUGAGUAACGCGUGGGGAAUCUGCCUUUGAGCGGGGGACAACAUUUGGAAACGAAUGCUAAUACCGCAUAAAAACUUUAAACACAAGUUUCAAGUUUGAAAGAUGCAAUUGCAUCACUCAAAGAUGAUCCCGCGUUGUAUUAGCUAGUUGGUGAGGUAAAGGCUCACCAAGGCGAUGAUACAUAGCCGACCUGAGAGGGUGAUCGGCCAAAUUGGGAAUGAGAAACGGCCCAAACUCCUAAGGGAGGCAGCAGUAGGGAAUCUUCGGCAAUGGACGAAAGUCUGACCGAGCAAAGCCGCGUGAGUGAAGAAGGUUUUCGGAUCGUAAAACUCUGUUGGUAGAGAAGAACGUUGGUGAGAGUGGAAAGCUCAUCAAGUGACGGUAACUACACAGAAAGGGACGGCUAACUACGUG
rnacentral:rRNA from 1 species